UUUCCGGUUGAUCCUGCCAGAGGCUACUGCCAUCAGAGUUCGAUUAAGCCAUGUUAGUUGAGGGUAGCUCUUCUUCGGAAGAGGGAACCCGGCAGACGGCUCAGUAACACGUGGACAACUUACCCUUAGGACCGGGAUAACUCCUGGGAAACUGGAGAUAAUACCGGAUAGAGCAUCGAAUGCUGGAAUGCACGAUGUUCAAAAGCUGAGGUGCCUAAGGAUAGGUCUGCGGCCGAUUAGGUUGUUGUUGAUGUGAUGGAUUAACAAGCCUACGAUCGGUAUGGGUUGUGAGAGCAAUAGCCCAGAGAUGGGUUCUGAGAAAAGAACCCAGGUCCUACGGGACGCAUCAGGCGCGAAAACUUUACAAUGUGCGAAAGCACGAUAAGGGAACUCUGAGUGCCUCCUACGGAGGCUGUUCAGUUGUCUAAAACGCAUCUGAAGGAAGGGCUGGGUAAGACCGGUGCCAGCCGCCGCGGUAACACCGGCAGCCCAAGUGGUAGCCAUGUUUAUUGGGUCUAAAGCGUCCGUAGCCGGCCACGUAAGUUCCUUGGGAAAUUUGAUCGCUUAACGGUCAAGCUUUCGGGGAAUACUGCCUGGCUUGGGACCGGGAGAGGUCAGAGGUACUCUAAGGGUAGGGGUGAAAUCCAUUAAUCCUUGGGGGACCACCGGUAGCGAAGGCGUCUGACCAGACCGGAUCCGACGGUGAGGGACGAAGGCUAGGGUCACGAACCGGAUUAGAUACCCGGGUAGUCCUAGCUGUAAACGAUGCUCGCUAGGUGUCAGACACGGUGCGACCGUGUUUGGUGCCGCAGGGAAGCCGUUAAGCGAGCCACCUGGGAAGUACGGUCGCAAGGCUGAAACUUAAAGGAAUUGGCGGGGGAGCACUACAACGGGUGGAGCCUGCGGUUUAAUUGGAUUCAACGCCGGAAAACUCACCGGGUGCGACAGCAAUAUGUAGGUCAGGCUGAAGGUCUUACCCGAAUCGCUGAGAGGAGGUGCAUGGCCGUCGUCAGUUCGUACUGUGAAGCAUCCUGUUAAGUCAGGCAACGAGCGAGACCCGUGCCCACAGUUGCCAGCAUACCCUUCGGGGUGAUGGGUACUUUGUGGGGACCGCCGCUGCUAAAGCGGAGGAAGGAGCGGGUUACGGUAGGUCAGUAUGCUCCGGAACUCCCGGGCUACACGCGGGCUACAAUGGUUGGGACAAUGGGAAUCAACACCGAAAGGUGAAGGCAAUCUCCUAAACCCAAUCGAAGUUCGGAUUGAGGGCUGCAACUCGCCCUCAUGAAGCUGGAAUCCGUAGUAAUCGCGUUUCAACACAGCGCGGUGAAUACGUCCCUGCUCCUUGCACACACCGCCCGUCAAACCAUCUGAGUGAGGUUUGGAUGAGGGUCUUCCUGAUGGAGGAUUCGAAUCUGGGCUUCGCAAGGAGGGUUAAGUCGUAACAAGGUAGCC
rnacentral:rRNA from 1 species